rnacentral:sRNA from 2 species
CACACACGGGAUUUGGGUUGAUAUCGGGAGAAAUCCGAUAUGGCCUCCGGUGGCGGGUCUCCCGCCUCUUUCCUGUGGAGGUUAAACCGGAAAAGGAAAACUA